CCAGCACUUUAGGAGGCUGAGGCGGGCGGAUCAGGUCAGGAGAUCGAGACCAUCCCGGCUAACACGGUGAAACCCCGUCUCUACUAAAAAUACAAAAAAUCAGCUGGGCAUGGUGGUACUCGCCUGUAGCCUCAGCUACUCAGGAGCCUGGGCAACAUAGCAAAACCAUGAUUCUACAAAAAAAAAAAAUUUAAAGCUAGCUGGGUGUGGUGGUGCGUGCCUAUAGUGCAAGCUACUCAGGAGGCCGAGGCAGGAGAAUCGCUUGAGCCCGGGAGGCGGAGCUUGCAGUGAGCCAAGAUGGCGCCACUCCAGCCUGAGUGACGGAGCGAGACUCCGUCUCCAAAAACAAACAAACAAACAAAAAACAAAAAUUAGCCGGGCGUGGUGGCGGGUGCCUGUAAUUCCAGCUGCUCAGGAGGCUGAGGCAGGAGAAUUGCUUGAACUGGGGGCGGAGGCAGAGGUUGCAGUGAGCCAAGAUCGCACCACUGCACUCUAGCCUGGGCAACACAGUGAGACUCCAUCUCAAAAAAAAAAAAAAAGAAACAGGGUCUUGCUCUGUUUGUUACCCAGGCUGGAGUACAGUGGCACACUCAUGGCUCACUGCAGCCCCGAGCUCCUGGGGCUCAAGCGAUCCUCCCGCCUCAGCGUCCUGAGUGUAAGCACACAACACCACACCCAGCUAGCGUUAAAAUUUUUUUUUGUAGAAUCAUGGUUUUGCUAUGUUGCCCAGGCUCGUCUCAAACUCCUGGGCUCAAGCGGUCCUCCUGUCUUGGCCUCACAAAGUGCUGGGACUACAUGUGCACACCAUCGCAUCUUGCCUUCAACAACGUUUAGUUGUUCCUUUUACUAGGGACGAACAGCAGCAGUAAUAACAUCCCCCUCACACUACUGGUAGGUUGGUUUGAUUUCUUUUUUCUCUUUUUUUUUAUUUUUAUUUUUUGAGAUGGCACCUUGGUCUGUCACGCAGACUGGAGUGCAAUGGCGCGAUUUUGGCUCACUGCAACCCCCACCUCCCAGGUUCAAGUCAUUCUCCUGCCUCAGCCUCCCGAGUACCUGGGACUACAGGCGUGCGCCACCACGCCUGCCUACUUUUUGCAUUUUCAGUAGAGACAAGGUUUCGCCAUGUUGGCCAGGCUGGUCCUGUACUCCUGACCUCCAGUGAUCCGCCUGCUUUGGCUUCCCAAAGUGCUGGGAUUACAGGCGUGAGCCACCGCGCCUGGCUGGUUGGUUUGAUUUCUAUCAGACAUAUUUUAAUUCCCUACAUGAUUUAAUGUGUAAAUGUAGAAUUUCAUGUUCUUUUUAGUGAAAGAAGUUCAGGUCUUCAGGGUAUAAUGAGGUAGGAAGGCUUAGUCAUCUAGGGAAACUAUACCAUGUACUUAUUAUCUUUUUAGUGUUGGGAUUAGGGUUGCCAGAUAAAAUACAGGAUGCCCCACUAAAUUUGAAUUGCUAAACAACAGGGACAUACUUAGACACAAACAUUAUUCAGUGUUUAUCUGAAAUUCAAAUUCCGCUGGGUGUCAGGCAUUUCUGUUUGCCAACUCCAGCAGCCCCAGCUGGGAGGUGCCCUCUGAGCUCCUCUCCCUGGAAGUCCUCUUACCUGCUGUCAGCUGAGCAAUUUGCCAGGCUUGCUUUGGGAGCUGGCUUGAAGUUAUUUGGAUUUGAUGACUCUCUUUCUCUUCUGUACAGGAAUCUACUUACCAAGAUGGCAGGAGCAAGUGGUUAUCAGAGCCUGCUCUCUAGAAAUACAAUUAAACAAGCAGCCCCUGUCUCUUUUUCUCCACUUUCAGUCUUGGGGAAGGGAUUGGAAUAUGUGAGCAGGAGAGAAGGGUCAUGUUGGAGCAGCCAGGACUCAGAGCCUUUCCGCAGACUGAGUCUGGAUCCUUUCCUUCAGCCUCCAGGAAUACUCCCGGCUCCACACCCAGAAUGGUAAUCCAGGCAAGGGCUCUGGUGUGUGGCCACACUGCCACCUAUUACCUGCGGGUCCAAAUGCAGUGACUCAACUUCUCUGUGCCUCUCUUUCCACAUGUAUAAAAUGAGGAUAAUGUUGCUAUUGUAAGAAUUGCAUCAAUUAAUAAACAGCACUCAGUGAAUCUGUUAGCCCAUCAGUGGAUCGCGCCUUGCAUGCUGGGCAUGUUCCCUCUUCUCUCUAGACCUCAGUGACCUCAACUGUGAAGUGGCUAUAGCUAAUCCACUUGGUCUAUAGGAUUUGUAAAGGAACAUGUUAAUAACCCUCAAGUGACUGCAGAGAAUGGGGGCAUUCUUUUUGGGAAAACUAUAGAUUGUUUAUCAUCAGGGAUGAAUACUUAAAAGAAAAUCUGGGAAUUUUUUUGUAAGUCACAAAGAAGGAUUUGGGAGGGGUUGCAUGCUUUUGAAUGGGAUUGCCUCUCUGGGAACUGUAGGGAAAUGGGUGACACAGAAGUACUAGGGGUUUUGGAGCUGUUCUGAGUGAACACACAGGUCCAGUGUGGCUACUUGGAGGCAGGGCCCCUGGAAUUUAUCCUGUUUUGCCUGCAAAGCUGAUUACCCAGCUGCCUCUUCUUUUCUCACCUCCAUGAUAUUAUCACCAAGCAACUAACAACAAUUAAAUCUGAGGACUCAACAAUCACGCACUAAGAUAAAAGACCACUGUGCUGUUGUGUUUCAAUAGGUAUAUAGAGAGAAGUGGGAAACUUCAGGAUUAAUGAAAUGUAGAUAAUGUCGAGAAAUGGCCAAAACACUGAAGCACUAAAUUAGGAAAAGAGCCUUAUGCAAAUAUUUGGUACUAAUGCCUGCUUUAUUUUUUUCCUUUUUUUAGUUUAAUUUUUGUUUUUUGAUACAGGCUAGAGUGCAGUGGCACAAUCACGGCUCACUGCAGCCUCUACCUCCCAGGCUCAAGCUACCCUCCUGCCUCAGCCUCUCAAGUAGCUAAUUUUUCUGUGUUUUGAAGAGGUGGGUUCUCACUAUGUUGCCCAGGCUGGGCUCAACUCCUGGACUCAAGUGAUCUUCCUGCCCUGGCCUCCCAAAGCACUGAGAUUACAGACAUGAACCACCGUGCCCGGCCAAUGCCUGUUUUAAACAGCAGGAAUAGUCACUUAUCAGACCUUUAGAAUGGCGUGGGCAUCCAACUGGAGUGAAGUCUGAGUAUGGAUGGUUUUGAAAAGCUCCAGGCGUUAAGAGUGACUAACUUAAUGUAUUCGAAGUCCCAUACUUUCAUUACGUUUUAGUGAAGACAAAUUGGAAGCUGGUCCAAGAAACUCACUCUAUAUUUUUUGCAGUGUGCCGCAUGUUUAUAUAAACUGUGUGGUCAGCUGUACAUCAUGCUCAUUCCGUGGUGUGCAUUCGUUCCUGAUUACCUCCUUUUGUUGUUUAUUGGUUCUGAUUUGAAUUACCCUCCAGAUACUGGAUCUAGAUAACUCUUGGGAUCAGAUGGCUUUCUCUAGCCAUGAGAGUCAAGAGGAUAGUUUCGAGAGUGGGAAGUGUACAUAGCCCCUCCUGCAUUGCACAAAGUUAGCCAAAUUUAUGUCUUUUCCAUGUGCACCAUAUGAGGUGUAAGUUGGAAGGAUGAGUAGGCUUGGAAAUAGAGCUGCAGCAUGUUGGAACCUGCUCAUAAGCAUGUUGGACAUCACAGAGGCUGGAGCCCUGCAGAAGAGAAUUGUUGUAUUCAAAUGUUAUUGUGAAACCACAGGAAGAGAGCUGACCUGCCAGCAAGAAGCCUAGUUCUUCUAUUACUGAGCAUGUGACCUUGUUGGAUUAUUUUAAAUCUUCAGAAUCACAGUUAUAACACCACCCAUCCUAACUUCCUAAAGAACAAGUGAGCCUGCACACAUGUGGAGACCAUAAAACCCUAUCCAAACGCAAUGCAUGAUUAAAUAAGCACAUGCUUAUGUGAGCAUAUUGUUUAGGUUUAGUUUGCCCUGGAGGUUGUAUUUAUUAUAUAGUCUCCAAGGGCAAGAAAGCAUGUUCCACUAUAUGAUAUUCAUGUGUGCUAACUAUUAAUUCUCUGAAAAUGAUUCUGUUGUUAUUACCAAAGGACAAGGGCUAUAAGAGAGUUUUAUUAAACAAACUUGAAGUCUGUCAUCUCUAUAAAACAUCCUUAUUUGGGUAAGCAGAGAGGCUUCCACAGGUUUACAAAUGAUUUCACAAUCAAGUCUAAAAUUAGUGACAGCAUCCAAAAAGAUCUCUGGUGUCUUUCCAAACUGCUCCAAGCAUUAGACUCUCCGAAAGGGAGUGUUUCAUUAAAUCAUCACAGAGCUGGCCUAUUCUCUGUCCAGUCUGGGGUCCGUUCUUUGUAGAAUUAUGACCUUGUCAGGGCAUCCAGAGGUGAAUAGUUUCUCAGAUUCUGACUCACAUUAAUCAAAUUCACAAGAGAGUGGUAUAUAAAAUAGAAUAUCAAUUGAUUGAUUAAUUGCUAUAUACUAUCAAUUAAUUGAUAGAAGUAUUAACAAGGCAGAUACUCAUGUUUGCUGAUGAGCACAUUCAUUCCCUGAAGGCAAAUCCAUGAGGAAAUCCUGUUAAAAUACGAAGCCUUCCUGCAGAGCGUGAAAUCAGAACGAAUUUCCGAUUCAGCUGGAACCUCCAUUUCCAGCUCAGGUGAUCCCAUCACACCGACCAGUGGGGCCUCCCUCCUGCCUUGUGAGGUUGCUAAAUGAGUUGAGUAGGUCAGGGUCAGAAUUUUUAAAAUAAAUAAAUAGAAGAUUAAAAUAACAGAAAGCAUCAUACCUAGCAAGAGUAGGAUUUGUUUCAUGAAACCCGUUUUAAUUUAGAUAGAUAGAUAGAGAGAUAGAUAGAGAGACUGAUAGAAGUAUUGGGUCCUAUGUGAAAAAAAAAUGUGUUUCUUACAGUGACUGCUUUCCAAAACAAUGUGUGAACAUCACUGCUAUAGAGAUGCUAACAUCUUUUAUUUUUAAAUGAAUAUUUAUUAGGUGCCUAUUCUGUAAUCUUGUGGAGAUUAUACUGUAGGAGAGAGAUUAUGAGAGAGAUGAAAGACAGGCAAUAAACAAAUACCAAUACCCUUUAGGUCCCCUACCUCUUUCUCUAGUCUGAUGCCUCCAGUGGUACAUUUGCUCUUCCUACAGAUACAGCUUAGGAUGGACUCAUCAGUCCUCCUGUCCUAGGAUCAUGCUUGGCCUUUGAACUGGCCUGUGCCCUGGCAGGUGGUCUCUUAGGCUGGAUCUGUGCACAGAAGGGGCUGCUUUCAGCCACCACCUGCCUAGUUUUCCUUUUCCUCUUUUUCUUUUCUUUUCUUUUUUUUUUUUUGAUGGAGUCUCUCUCUUUAGCCCAGGCUAGAGUGCAGCAGUGUGAUCUCGGCUCACUGCAACCUCCACCUUCCGGGUUCAAGCGAUUCUCCUGCCUCAGCCUCCCGAGUAGCUGGGAUUACAGGCACCAGCCACCAGGCCUGGCUAAUUUUUGUAUUAUUAGCACAGACAGGGUUUCACCAUGUUGGUCAGGCUGGUCUCAAACUCCUGACCUCAUGUAAUCCACCUGCCUCGGCCUCCCAAAGGGCUGGAAUUACAGGUGUGAGCCACCGCACCCAGCCUCCUUUCCCUCUUUUAACUCUUCAUUGUUUAUAUCACCCACCCACCUUCUUGAAAUAGCUGUUGUUUUUUUUUUUUUACUCUGUCUAAAGAUAAUCAGGCAAAAUAGCACAUAAAUGUACAGUUCAAGGGCCUGAAUGAAGAAAACUACAGUAUGCAAGAAGCUGGAAGAAAUCCUGGAAAUUCUCCUUUCAACUUUCUUAUUUUUAGAUGAAGAAACAGAUUCAAGAAGGCUGUGACUUGCUCAAGGUCAAAGUCAUCCAAUAACAGAUCUGACACUAAACCCUGGAUCUGUAGACCCCAUGUCCAGUGCUCCGUCA
rnacentral:lncRNA from 1 species